GUUCUUGCGCAAAACUCUGGUUUUGACCUUCAGGAAACAUUAGUUAAAGUUCAAGCUGAACAUUCGGAAUCCGGCCAGCUCGUAGGUGUGGAUCUGAGCACAGGUGAGCCGAUGGUGGCUGCAGAGAUGGGUGUGUGGGAUAACUACUGUGUGAAGAAGCAGCUGCUACACUCCUGUACUGUGAUCGCCACCAACAUUCUCCUGGUCGACGAGAUCAUGCGAGCUGGGAUGUCCUCUCUGAAGGGUUGAGGCCUGCCUGUGAUACUACAGGAUGUUGGGGGGAAUGGUUAUUUUUGUCCAAGCUUCAAGUGAUUUGGAAAAAAAUUUUCUCUUCCUGAUUGGAGAAAAGAAACGGGACAUUUGACACCUAUUCAAAUUAUACUGUAAAAUUUUAUUUUAUUUUUGCCUUGA
ensembl:processed_transcript